GUCUCAGUAGCACAGUGGUUAGCGCACAGCUCCGGAUAGGUUGAGACGCAGGUUCGAUACCCGGCUGAGAUG
rfam:Nippostrongylus brasiliensis genome assembly, scaffold: NBR_scaffold0000490